rnacentral:rRNA from 1 species
UGCGUAGGCGGAUUGUUAAGUCAGGGGUGAAAGUCUACGGCUCAACCGUAGAAGCGCCAUUGAUACUGGCAGUCUUGAGUACAGUAGAGGUAGGCGGAAUUUAUGGUGUAGCGGUGAAAUGCAUAGAUACCAUAAAGAACACCUAUAGCGAAGGCAGCUUACUAUUCUGUAACUGACGCUGAGGCACGAAAGCGUGGGGAGCGAACAGGAUUAGAUACCCUGGUAGUCC